rnacentral:misc_RNA from 1 species
UCCUGGUUAACCCAGGCAGUCUCCCUAGAGUGCCCAACUUAAUGCUGGCAACUAAGGAUAGAGGUUGCGCUCGUUGCGAGACUUAACCCAACAUUUCACAACACGAGCUGACGACAGCCAUGCAGCGCCUCUCACUACAUUCCCUUGCGGGCACAUCCGUAUCUCUACAGACUUCGUAGGAGUUCAAGCCCAGGUAAGGUUCUGCGCGUUGCUUCGAAUUAAACCACAUAAUCCACCGCUUGUGCGGGCCCCCGUCAAUUCCUUUGAGUUUUAAUCUUGCGACCGUACUUCCCAGGCGGAGCACUUAACGUGUUAACUAAGCAACAGAAACGAUUAAUAUCCCCAUUGCGAGUGCUCAUAGUUUACGGCGUGGACUAC